AGAGUUUGAUCCUGGCUCAGAUUGAACGCUGGCGGCAGGCCUAACACAUGCAAGUCGAACGGUAGCACAGAGAGCUUGCUCUCGGGUGACGAGUGGCGGACGGGUGAGUAAUGUCUGGGAAACUGCCUGAUGGAGGGGGAUAACUACUGGAAACGGUAGCUAAUACCGCAUAAUGUCUGCGGACCAAAGCGGGGGACCUCCGGGCCUCGCGCCAUCAGAUGAACCCAUAUGGGAUUAGCUUGUAGGUAAGGUAACGGCUUACCUAGGCGACGAUCCCUAGCUGGUCUGAGAGGAUGAUCAGCCACACUGGGACUGAGACACGGCCCAGACUCCUACGGGAGGCAGCAGUGGGGAAUAUUGCACAAUGGGCGCAAGCCUGAUGCAGCCAUGCCGCGUGUAUGAAGAAGGCCUUCGGGUUGUAAAGUACUUUCAGCGAGGAGGAAGGCGUUGUGGUUAAUAACCGCAACGAUUGACGUUACUCGCAGAAGAAGCACCGGCUAACUCCGUGCCAGCAGCCGCGGUAAUAC
rnacentral:rRNA from 1 species